rnacentral:rRNA from 1 species
UACGGAGGGAGCUAGCGUUGUUCGGAAUUACUGGGCGUAAAGCGUACGUAGGCGGCUUUGUAAGUUAGAGGUGAAAGCCCGGAGCUCAACUCCGGAACUGCCUUUAAGACUGCAUCGCUAGAAUCCGGGAGAGGUGAGUGGAAUUCCGAGUGUAGAGGUGAAAUUCGUAGAUAUUCGGAAGAACACCAGUGGCGAAGGCGGCUCACUGGCCCGGUACUGACGCUCAUGUGCGAAAGCGUGGGGAGCAAACAGG